rnacentral:rRNA from 1 species
AAGACCUUGCGCUUUUGGAGCGGCCGAUGCCUGAUUAGCUUGUUGGUAAGGUAAAAGCUUACCAAGGCUUCGAUCAGUAGCUGGUCUGAGAGGACGGCCAGCCACACUGGGACUGAGACACGGCCUAGACUCCUACGGGAGGCAGCAGUGGGGAAUUUUGGACAAUGGGGGCAACCCUGAUCCAGCCAUGCCGCGUGAGUGAAGAAGGCCUUCGGGUUGUAAAGCUCUUUCAGCCGGAACGAAACGGUUACGGUUAAUACCCGUGACUACUGACGGUACCGGAAGAAGAAGCACCGGCUAACUACGUGCCAGCAGCCGCGGUAAUACGUAGGGUGCGAGCGUUAAUCGGAAUUACUGGGCGUAAAGCGUGCGCAGGUGGUUUUGUAAGUCAGAUGUGAAAGCCCCGGGCUCAACCUGGGAACU